rnacentral:rRNA from 1 species
GAAAUAAGAUUUUAAAUGAGUGCUAAGAGAAUGAUUAAACAAUUAAAAGCUUUCUUUAAUUAAAAAGUUAAAUUUAAUUUUUUAGUGCAAAAGCAAAAAUAAAAUUUAGGGACAAGAAGACCCUAUGAAUUUUUAUUGUUAAUAAUUAAAAUUUAAGUUAUUAAUAAUUUAAUUGGGGCGAUAAAAAAAGAAUAAGUAUCUUUUUAGCUAUAAAAUAAGUUCCGUUUUUAGCGAUUAAAUGAAAUAAAUACUCUAGGGAUAACAGCGUAAUAAUUUUGGAUAGUUCAUAUAGAUAAAAUAGUUUGCGACCUCGAUGUUGGAUUAGGAUUCUU